AAACUAGGAUUAGAUACCCAUGUAAAUAAAUUUUAAAGUAUUAAAUUUUUAAAAUUAAACUAAAAAAAUAUUUGGCGGUAAAAUAAUUAAUUAAAGGGGCUUGAUUAAUUAUAGAAAGUACUCAUUAAAAUAAAAUUUAUUUAUUAAUUUAUUUAUCUCCGUGUAAUAUAUAUAUAAAUUUAAUUUUUAUCAAUUUAAUAAUUUUAUACAGGUCAAAAUUUAAUUUAAAAUAAAUAUAAUUUAGCCACAAAAAAGAAAAUAAUAAUUUAAGAAUUUAAAAGUAAAUUUAUUUUUAAAAAAAAUUAUAUUGAAAAAAAAAUUUUAUGUACAUAUUGCCCAUCACUUUCAUUAAUUAAAUGAAAUAAGUCGUAACAUAGUA
rnacentral:rRNA from 1 species